rnacentral:rRNA from 1 species
UACAGAGGUCUCGAGCGUUGUUCGGAUUCAUUGGGCGUAAAGGGUGCGUAGGUGGCGCUGUAAGUCGGGUGUGAAAUCCUGGGGCUUAACCCCGGAACUGCAUUCGAUACUGCAGUGCUUGAGGACUGGAGAGGAGACUGGAAUUCAUGGUGUAGCAGUGAAAUGCGUAGAGAUCAUGAGGAAGACCAGUGGCGAAGGCGGGUCUCUGGACAGUUCCUGACGCUGAGGCACGAAGGUCAGGGGAGCAAACGGG